GAAUUCUUGUUUCUCUUAUAGACCACCCAUCACUCAAAUGGCCCUCCAGCCUAUUACUUCUCAAUCUGACUUCUAUCAUGGACCACUAGAUAGACCUGAUAGACCCGAUUUUUAAAGGGGACUCCAAACUGCUUGCCCAACAUCAUCCCCUUUCAGCCUGAAGAAGCCAGAAUGAUCUUCGCCCCCUUUCCUUACAGCAGUAAGGAGUUCCCAAAAUUAGAGGGGGGAAUGAAGCCAGAUUUAAAAUUAGGCAGUCAGGGCUGGGGAUGUCGCUCAAGUGGUAGUGCGCUCCUCUGGCAUGUGUGCGGCCCGGGUUCGAUCCUCAGCACCACAUACCAACAAAGAUGUUGUGUCUGCCGAUAACUAAAAAAAUAAAUAAAUAUUAAAAAAAAAUAAAUAAAAUUAGGCAGUCAGUGUAGUUAGGUAAAUUGAGUCUAAUAUCCAGUGAAAUCUAAAAUGGAGGCCAUGUUGAGAAGAAUUUCCGGAAAAGUUGAGCAACUCUUGAAAUGUUAAUAAAGUCCCAAGAAAAGCCCUAGGCCCAAAGUCCAUCCCAAAGAAAUGUUAAUGAACAGCCCCAGCAGAUUUGAAGAUAGCCCAUCCCAAAGAAGUGUUAAUGAAGUCCUUGCUGCCCAGAUUACUUCUUUGGCCCACCUGUGUCCCACCCCUCAGCCUUCCAACCUACAUUCCAUCAUUGAAAGAACUAUAAAAAGGGGAAACAACCGCACUUCCACGGAUUCCACGUCUUGGGUCCCCUCCUUCCUCCGGGUUAAGUCUUUUCUGCUGUCCU
rnacentral:lncRNA from 1 species